AGGACCAUACUGGCCCGUAGCGGUCCUGAUGGCCUCAGUGUCUAACUGAGUGGCAGCAGUGCCACCAGCAUUAAGAGCAUCUCCCACCACCCCGCAGACCGUCAAAGUAGAGCCAGGAACAGAAUCAAGACCAUAUAAUUGCUGAUGAAAAACCUGUGGUUUCUCAGAAG